ACAACAAUGUGCCUUACUACCAUUGAUAAUAACAAUGCUGUGUACCUGCUAAUUUCUUUGAAGUUGUUUUAAACAAAGUAACUCAUAACUAAAUACUUUAUUUAUAAUAAUGUCAUUCCACUUCGAAAUUAUAAAUAACGAUUCAAUUAGGUACACAAAAAGCUCAAGAAAAUCAUUGACAGCAUAAAAACGUUCAACUCAUUUAGUCGCACAUAAUUGUUUUAAUGAUUUUUUAGUUAUACAUUUUUGACUUUCUUCGAUUUGACUUUUCAACACAUCUUUUCGCUUUGGAAGAUGAAUAAGAAAUAGCAAGGUUUAAAACAUGAACAGCACAAUGAACAAACGUCGCAAGCGGAUAACUUUGGUGAAUAAGAGAUUGAGCUCCGUUAAAUUGACCAGACAUAGAAGCACAUCCAUCGUAACACUGUCCUCUAAGUAUCUGUUGUAGGCACAAACUGAAGAAUUCUUCCUUGAUAAUCAUAUUUUCAACAUCUAAAUAUCGAACACACAAGGUUACUUGUUCGCUUCCACCAAUAUUUCUCUAAAAUUUCCUUGAUUUUCUUGGAUAAUUUGUCAUUUUCAUUGAAGUUACAAAGAUAGCCGUUAUUGUCAAAAAAA